rnacentral:rRNA from 2 species
UUCCGGUUGAUCCUGCCGGACCUGACUGCUAUCGGAAUGAUACUAAGCCAUGCGAGUCAUUGUAGCAAUACAAGGCAGACGGCUCAGUAACGCGUAGUCAAUCUACCCUAUGGACGGGAAUAACCUCGGGAAACUGAGAAUAAUGCCCGAUAGAACAUUAUGCCUGGAAUGGUUUAUGUUUCAAAUGAUUUAUCGCCAUAGGAUGGGACUGCGGCCUAUCAGUUUGUUGGUGAGGUAAUGGCCCACCAAGACUAUUACAGGUACGGGCUCUGAGAGGAGUGGCCCGGAGAUGGGUACUGAGACACGGACCCAGGCCCUAUGGGGCGCAGCAGGCGAGAAAACUUUGCAAUGUGCGAAAGCACGACAAGGUUAAUCCGAGUGGUUUCUGCUAAAGAAACCUUUUGUCAGUCCUAGAAACACUAACGAAUAAGGGGUGGGCAAGUUCUGGUGUCAGCCGCCGCGGUAAAACCAGCACCUCAAGUGGUCAGGAUGAUUAUUGGGCCUAAAGCAUCCGUAGCUCGUUUUGUAAGUUUUCGGUUAAAUCCAUGCGCUUAACGUAUGGGCUGCCGGGAAUACUGCAUAACUAGGAAGUGGGAGAGGUAGACGGUACUCGGUAGGAAGGGGUAAAAUCCUUUGAUCUAUUGAUGACCACCUGUGGCGAAGGCGGUCUACCAGAACACGUUCGACGGUGAGGGAUGAAAGCUGGGGGAGCAAACCGGAUUAGAUACCCGGGUAGUCCCAGCUGUAAACUAUGCAAACUCAGUGAUGCAUUGGCUUGUGGCCAAUGCAGUGCUGCAGGGAAGCCGUUAAGUUUGCCGCCUGGGAAGUACGUACGCAAGUAUGAAACUUAAAGGAAUUGGCGGGGGAGCACCACAA